CCUACGGGAGGCAGCAGUCGGGAAUAUUGCGCAAUGGAGGAAACUCUGACGCAGUGACGCCGCGUGCAGGAAGAAGGUUUUCGGAUUGUAAACUGCUUUAGACAGGGAAGAAAAAAGACAGUACCUGUAGAAUAAGCUCCGGCUAACUACGUGCCAGCAGCCGCGGUAAUACGUAGGGAGCAAGCGUUAUCCGGAUUUAUUGGGUGUAAAGGGUGCGUAGACGGAGAAGCAAGUUAGUUGUGAAAUCCCUCGGCUUAACUGAGGAACUGCAACUAAAACUACUUCCCUUGAGUACUGGAGAGGAAAGUGGAAUUCCUAGUGUAGCGGUUAAAUGCGUAGAUAUUAGGAGGAACACCAGUGGCGAAGGCAGCUUACCAAGCUACUUCUGACGUUGAGGCACGAAAGCGUGGGGAGCAAACAGGAUUAGAUACCCUUGUAGUC
rnacentral:rRNA from 1 species